rnacentral:rRNA from 1 species
GAUGAACGCUGGCGGCGUGCUUAACACAUGCAAGUCGAACGAUGAAGCCCAGCUUGCUGGGUGGGUUAGUGGCGAACGGGUGAGUAACACGUGAGUAACCUGCCCUUGACUCUGGGAUAAGCGCUGGAAACGGCGUCUAAUACCGGAUACGAGCUUCCACCGCAUGGUGAGUUGCUGGAAAGAAUUUCGGUCAAGGAUGGACUCGCGGCCUAUCAGGUUAUUGGUGAGGUAACGGCUCACCAAGCCGACGACGGGUAGCCGGCCUGGGAGGGUGACCGGCCACACUGGGACUGAGACACGGCCCAGACUCCUACGGGGGGCAGCAGUGGGGAAUAUUGCACAAUGGGCGCAAGCCUGAUGCAGCAACGCCGCGUGAGGGACGAAGGCCUUCGGGUAGUAAACCUCUUUUAGCAGGGAAGAAGCGAAAGUGACGGUACCUGCAGAAAAAGCACCGGCUAACUACGUG